GUGCCAGCAGCCGCGGUAAUACGGAGGGUGCGAGCGUUAAUCGGAAUUACUGGGCGUAAAGGGCGCGUAGGCGGUCGCGCAAGUCGGGUGUGAAAGCCCCGGGCUCAACCUGGGAAUUGCAUUCGAUACUGCGUAACUAGAGUCUGGUAGAGGGAAGCGGAAUUCCGCAUGUAGCGGUGAAAUGCGUAGAUAUGCGGAGGAACACCAGUGGCGAAGGCGGCUUCCUGGACCAAGACUGACGCUGAGGCGCGAAAGCGUGGGGAGCAAACAGGAUUAGAUACCCUGGUAGUCCACGCCCUAAACGAUGAGGACUAGACGUUGGGGGAUAAAACCCUUAGUGUCGCAGCUAACGCGUGAAGUCCUCCGCCUGGGGAGUACGCCGCAAGGUUGAAACUCAAAGGAAUAGGCGG
rnacentral:rRNA from 1 species